AACCAGAAAACAACAAGCCUGGAGAGAGUAUAGCAGGGAAGGAAGGCAUUUGCACGCAGCCGACCCGGGUUCGAUCCCUGGCACCUUAUAUGGUCUCCUGCGUGCAGAGCAAGGAGAAAGUCCUGAGCACUGCCAGCUGUGCCCCCAACCAACCAACCAAAAGAAUGAACAAAAAGAAAAAGAUGGUGACAAGGACCCAGGGCGGUAGACGGCUCAGGUGUGGGCACACAGGCCUUGGCAUACAAGGUUGCAAGGUUUCAACACAUGGCGGCCUCUCCCAGCAGUGCCCAGCCCCGCAUGGGAGGCUCUGCCCCCCGCCCCCCAAUGCAGAAGCCCUGGCUCUGAGCUGGAGAGAGGAAGAGGGGCUAGAGGGGUCUGAUGUUUGAAUUCCAUCUCACCUCAGCGCUGGGAGAAGCAGCCCCACCCUGCCGAGUCCUUGCAAGCCGGAGGGACAGAGCAGGGCAGGGCAGGCGGCUCCCAGGUGGCCUCCAGGUCACGGCCCCCAGGCCAGGCCUCCACCAUCAGCACAGAAGCCCAGGUUUGGAGGGGUUCCAAGGCCCCUGCGCCCCUUGCUGCUGGCCCACACUGCGGGACUCUAACAAGCCUGGUCCUCUUCUGCACGGACUUCAUGGACUCAGACCUAUCACUCCCAAACCUCCCUGUCACUGGGAUGCGGGGGACAGCCUGGGGUUGCCAGAGGCAUCAGCGCAGUGGCCAGCUGCCAUCCUGGACCAUGAGACACUCUUCCGGUUCCUUGCAGGAGUCCCGGCCCUCCCUUCCCUGCUGCUGCUGACUGGGGCGCUCAUACCAGGUUCACCCGUUCUGGCAGUGGUGCUUGUGGUGGCACUGCACACCUCACACUUGGUUGUAGAGCUGGGGUCACCCCAACACCCUGUAUUCAGAUCCCCCUCGGCGCAGAGUGUGUGGGUGGGGGGGAUGCUGGGUUCGAACUCACCUCCCAUGUUUGCUGCUCAUGUGCUCUGCUAAGGACCCAUUCCCCAGUGGGCACCAGCCUGGAGUAGGGGUUCAUGGUGGGCAGGGGACUUCAGGUCGGGGUCCGCGUGGGUGAGGAGGGUGCCCAGGGGUGGUGUGGCUGACUUUACGGAUGCUGGGCACACAGCAUCCCCCACAACGUGCCGCCUGACCCACGGGAAUCUCCUGUGAUCCCUGCUGGCCACCCCAUCCGGGAUGGACGGGGUGCUGGAGGAGGGGCUGCCCUCAGCCUGGAGGGAGCGGGGGCACAGUUGACUGUUGUCCAGGGCAGCCUGAGCCUGCGGGAGGCUUUGCUGGGACUGGGAAUAUAUGAUUGUUGGUGCCAAGGUCCUGGGCUCAGGGUGGAGCACACACCAGGCACACACCGGCCUCUCCCACUGGCAAGGGACUGGCCCCCCAGCGAGGAAUCACCUGGUGUCUCCUGGUCUGCGGAGACUCGCCCUGGGUGGCCUGUGGGGCCCAGGAAAGUGGCGGGCUGGAGCCCACUGGGUCACCCUCGCCAGUGGCACAAACAGCCUUGGACAUUCCACAUGUGGCCGCACACUCGCCCUCGGUCAAGUGGGAGCUGACACCUGUCUGGGUGACAAUCUCUUUAGAUAUCCUGUGCAGCUGACGGACAAACCAUCAGUAUGAGGGUUACUGGUUACUGCCGGGACUUCGCUGCACUCUCCAGUCUGGGUAAGCCUUUUGCUUCUACAGACUCCUCCGGGCUCUGCGUCUGUUCUUUCGGCUGCGCCCUAAAGGCAUGUGUGUGUGUGUGUGUGUGUGUGUGUGUGUGUGUGUGUGUUUCUUUUUUGGGUCACAACAAGCGAUGCACAGGGGUUACUCCUGGCUCAUGCACUCUGGAACUACUCCUGGCGGUGCUCAGAGAACCAUAUGGGAUGCUGGAAAUUGAGUCCGGCUCAGCCGCGUGCAUGGCAAGCACCCUACCUGCUGUGCUAUCACCCUAGCCCCGUGUGUGUGUGUGUGUGUGUGUGUGUGUGUGUGUGUGUGUGUGUGUGUGUUUGAGAAUAAUGGUAAGACUUUCCCCCCCUUCUUAUGGUUUUUGGGCCACACCCAAUGAUGUUCAGGGGUUACUCCUUGCUCUGCACUCAGAAAUUACUCAUGGUGGGCUCAGGGGACCAUACGGGAUGCUGGGGAUCAAAACCAGGUCCACGUCGUGUGAGGCAAACGCCCUACCCGCUGUGCUAUCGCUCCGGUCCCACGAGAUGCAUCUAGCUACCGUCUGCCACUCAAGCCUUCCCACUAGAACAUGGAGAGAUCAUCGAAGCUGUCGUGAGCAGCUUUGCUAAGAAAACACCAAGUCUGUCCUUUCUACCCACUGCCCAGGGACCCAGCGUGGACACCUGGGCAGUGAGUGGGACAGUGAGCGAGGCUGCGGAGCGGCCUGUCGUGGAGAGGUGGCGCCCGAGAGCAGGUUCCGCUGCCAGGAAGGAGCAGUUUUCUGGGGGAGAAGCAGCAGAUUCCAGAGACUGAAAAGGCAGGACUCUGGGUAGGGGGCAGAGCAGGCUUCUGGCCCAGACCACAUCUGUCUAUACCCAGGCUCGCCCACUGGGAAACUUCACACAAGCUGAUAAAGUGAGGGCUUCGGGUGUGCCAACAGGAGCAGGUGUCAAUCAUGGUGGGAAUCUCUCCAGGUCUCCUGUCCCCCGCCCUUGGCACCAUCCCCACCAGAAGAUCAAUCCCGGUGACUCAGUUCAUCAUGAGACAGUACUAUCAUCAGCACGAUGGAACCUGCUUUCCUCCAGCCUCUGGCCCCGUCUUGCCCGGGUACACAAACCCUGGAUGGCUUUGGGGCCCUGCUCGGCUGCUCUGGUACCUCCAUGGCCUUCGUGAGAAUGGCCUGUGCUGGCAGCUGGCCUUGGACUAGACCCUUCUGGGGAUGAGAGCACCGGGUUGGGCACCAGCUCGAAACCUGGGUCUGGGGGUUUGGGAGGUUCCAGAAGGGGGUGAGAAUUAGUAAGUGGCUGUGACAAUUCAACCAGUUUCGUGCCUGUGUCGUCAUCCUGGCCAAUCUGGGCUGUGAGAGCUGGGGCCCGGGGCCCUGUCGGAGUGGUUGGUCUAACCCCUAACCAGCCCAGUGCCCCCCAAACCAAACCCCAUAACCAGAGUCAGCCUCGGCCCCGGUGACCGUUUUCUACCAGCACGCGUGACACUUCUCCCUCACUGCCCCCACUUCUAUCAGCCUGUGAUGAAGUCUGGGUGUCAUGCUGAAAUCCCAGAGCCAGACAGACAGACAAUGGGUUUCUCUGCUCCCGGCUCAUGGGUGGCCUGCUGAGAUGGCAGCUUUCCGGGUGGCUCAAGUCUGAGAAUCAGCCAGAGCGAAAGGACGGCGGCUGACCCAGGUCCAAUCCCUGGCAUCACGUCUGGUCCCUGAGCCCCACCAGGAGUGACCCCUGGGCACAGAGCCAGGAGUGAGCCCUGAGCACUGGUGGGUGUAGCCCCCAAACCGAAUAAAAUAUAUAAAUAAAAAAAAAGUAUGAGCCACAGGCUUAGGAAUGGCAGGAUGCUUUUCAGAAAUGUUUAUGAAAAAGAAGAAAAAAAGGCACCAGGAAUGGAACGGCGGCCGACGUGGGUGGGCUGUGGCUUUCCUGGCCCUGCAGGUGGUGGCACGUGUAUGGCCUUGGAGCAUCUUCCUCCUGCGGAUGAGGAAGUUGUCAGCGGAGCUUCGUGGAGAAAAGGUCUUUCUGUGGAAUUCUGCUUACCCUCAGCAAGUACCUAAGUACUGAGCACUUAUUCCCAGUACUCAGCAGUGCUUCCGCCUUUGUCCCCUCCUUUCUCUCUCUUGCAGCAUCUCACUCAAGGCUCAGCAAGCCAAGCACCGCAAAGGAGCUGGAGUGUCUGAGCCACCAAAACCUUUGGCCCCCGGGGUGCCCCGGCCCAGGACUCUGGACACAGUGCUCAUCAUUCACAGGCUUGUUUCUGGAAGAACCUUGGGAAAGGAAGCUUACAGGUAAUGUAUAGAUGACAGGUGAUAGAAGAGUGUAGGAAAGUGGGGGGUAAAAAAAAGUGCCUCGGACUGCAGUGGGGAGGCUGCUCUGACCUCUGAGGCCGAUGGUUGGAGGCCUUGUGGCAGCUGGCUGCAGGCGUGGACAGGACCCCGCCAUCCUGGCAGUGAGGGCUGGGGCUGGGAACAAACUCUGGGAGUACUCUAGUACUCCCCGUCAAGCCUCACGGCUUCCUUGCGUGAGAGCUAAACUCUCGGGGCCGGAGUGAUGGCGCAGCCAGUAAGAGGCUUGCCUUGCUCUCAGCCAACCCGGGAUCGAUCCUCGGCGUCCCCAAGCACCACCAGGAGGGAUUCCCGAGUGCAGAGCCAGGAGUAACCCCUGAGCAGGUGUGCCCCCAAAGAAAGGUAAAUUCACAGCCAUUCGAGGAGCUUGGCCUUCACGUCUCCUUUGGGGUGGCUGCAGAGGCCCCAAGUUUUGCUGUCACGAGGACUCGGUGUGCUGGUGCCUGUUCUCAGGGGCCCGGGGACUGGGGUCUCAAACCCCACCUGGAUGGAGCAUGAACCGGCGUGUUGGAGACUGGUGGUGCAGAGUGGCGUGGGGGCAGGGAAACUGUGACGCUGUGUCCACUUCCAGCCCAGCCACGGGCUCCCCAGGGUCGGGCAGCCCCGUGCUGGCCGACGGCCGACAGAGGAGGCUGGGUCAGUGUGGGCUGGUGGGGGCACAGCUGGCCUUUCAGUAAACAGAAUAUGGCGGGGCUUCGGAGGACGGGGAUGGACCCCAGGACUUUGUACAUGCUGACAUCACUCUCCACUGAGCCAUGUCCGGCCCCAACAUGUGGUUUUACAUUCGUUCUGCGUGGCACGGCGGUAUUUCUGCAGGGGGAGCACGGGGGGUGGGAAUGUGUCUGGGGGCUCCUGUGGGGUUGCCAGGGUCCUGCUGGCCAGGCGGGCACAGGAGUGAUGCCUUUCUAGCACCGCGCUCGAAAAGCCAGGUCUAAGGUGCUGUGUGGGUCUCUGGUUCUGACCCAGAUCCUCCCUGGGGCGUCCGAGGGAAGCACCUCACGACCGGGGCAGGGGAGGCCUCAGAACACAGUCCCUCAGGGCAGCCUGUGGACGGUCCUGAUCGGGAGGCCUCUCCUCGACAGGAGACAUCACUGUCUCACCUGGGGACCUGGCCCGACAGGGGCGGGUGUCACCCAGACCCGCGGUGGCAAACAGGCCGGGGCAGGAAACUUCCUUAAGUGACAGGCCUGGCCCGAAUGAGCUGUCCCACAAACACGGACCAUCACUCUCAAUCCCCCCAUUUUUAGUUUGUUAAUAUUCAGGUGAGGUUUAAAAAAGGAGACACAGGGCUGGAGAGGUUGGAGGGGGGUCAGGUGCUUGCCUGCACCCCCACCGACCCUGGUUUGAACCCUCUGCACCCCAAGGAGCACUGCUCCUGAGCAAAGAACCAGAGUAUCCUUGACUUACAGGGGAUGUCACCCCAAACCCAACACACACACACACACACACACACACAAAAGAAAUGCAUACACAGAAGUCUGCUUGAACCUGAAAUAAUCGGUUGAUAUUUGAAUUGCUUUCGGUGGGACAUUUGCUUUAAACCAUAAGACAGCUCCCAUUUGGAUUCUCAAGAGUACAAAACCCUUCCCCCCGCCCCCCCGCCAAAAAAACAAAGAAACAAA